rnacentral:lncRNA from 1 species
AUGCUCGGGUCAUCCCAACCUCGCAGCAGGAAGUGUGUGGUGUGGGCUUAUUCCUUUCUCGGUGACGCCAGCUUCGAUGCAUUUGGGCCAUCUGUCUUCCCUUAUCGAGCCAGUGUCACUAGAUCAAGGAGGAGCGACAAACCUAAUUCAGGCCAGUGCGAGUCAAUCUUCCAAGAACCCGUAAGUGGCUUCCUCUUCGGUCUCCUUUGCCAAAAUUGCAACCUACACCUGUUCUCAAGAAAAUCGCUGACAAAGGUAAUGGAACUCCCAUUACUAAGUCAGACCACUGGUUCCCUACACAUCAGAACCAAUGGUUCCUUAUGCUUCAUAUAUUUCAUAACUCUUCUCUUUUGAAAUAAA